rnacentral:lncRNA from 1 species
AGCUAUAUCGAAGGGGAUAUGUCACCCCAAUGUUAAAGUGCUUAUCCAAGGAAGAAUCCGAUUAUGUUAUGCGCGAGUUGCAUGAGGGGAUUUGUGGCAGACAUGGUGGUGGACGAUCACUGCGGGCCCGAGCUUUGAGGGCAGGAUUCUACUGGCCAACUAUGGAAAAGGAUUGUCAAGUCUUUGUCGCUAAGUGUUUGGCCUGUCAGAAGUACGGGAAUAUAAUUCAUACACCGGC